rnacentral:tRNA from 3 species
GGGGAUGUAGCUCAGUUGGCUAGAGCGCUUGACUGGCAGUCAAGAGGUCGUGGGUUCGAAUCCCAUCUUCUCCACAA